rnacentral:rRNA from 1 species
UACGGAGGGUGCAAGCGUUAUCCGGAUUCACUGGGUUUAAAGGGUGCGUAGGUGGGUCUGUAAGUCAGUGGUGAAAUCUCCGAGCUUAACUCGGAAACUGCCAUUGAUACUAUAGGUCUUGAAUUAUCUGGAGGUAAGCGGAAUAUGUCAUGUAGCGGUGAAAUGCUUAGAUAUGACAUAGAACACCAAUUGCGAAGGCAGCUUACUACACAAAUAUUGACGCUGAGGCACGAAAGCGUGGGGAUCAAACAGG